AUUGAACGCUGGCGGCAGGCCUAACACAUGCAAGUCGAGCGGAUGAAGGGAGCUUGCUCCUGGAUUCAGCGGCGGACGGGUGAGUAAUGCCUAGGAAUCUGCCUGGUAGUGGGGGAUAACGUCCGGAAACGGGCGCUAAUACCGCAUACGUCCUGAGGGAGAAAGUGGGGGAUCUUCGGACCUCACGCUAUCAGAUGAGCCUAGGUCGGAUUAGCUAGUUGGUGGGGUAAAGGCCUACCAAGGCGACGAUCCGUAACUGGUCUGAGAGGAUGAUCAGUCACACUGGAACUGAGACACGGUCCAGACUCCUACGGGAGGCAGCAGUGGGGAAUAUUAGACAAUGGGCGAGAGCCUGAUCCAGCCAUGCCGCGUGUGUGAAGAAGGUCUUCGGAUUGUAAAGCACUUUAAGUUGGGAGGAAGGGCAGUAAGUUAAUACCUUGCUGUCUUGACGUUACCAACAGAAUAAGCACCGGCUAACUUCGUG
rnacentral:rRNA from 1 species